CAUGAGGUGGCCAUGUGGUUAUGGAGAUAGACUGCUAAUCCAUUGUGCUUUGCAUGUAUGGGUUUGAAUCCCAUCCUCAUCA